rnacentral:lncRNA from 1 species
CGGGUGCCCAGCUCCGGGCGGGCGGCCUCGGCCCUUCUCCCUGUGUGGCCUGGACUCAGUCCCGCUGCGCCCUUGGCGAGUCGGGGAAGGAGGUGGCGGGCGAGGGUGCUCCGGACGAGGCCAGGCAGGGGGAGGCGAACCUGCGACUCGCCGGCCCGUGUCCCCCGCGUCUCCGGAGGCCCGGGGCGCGGGCACCUUCGGUUGAACGGAAGAGGAGCGGGGAGCGAGGGAGGCGGCAGUUUGUGUCUCGGGGCUCUUCCGCCCCUUCUCGCCUCCUCCUAAGACAGACAGACGCCACCCCACCUGGGGCCGAGCGGGAACUGUGGGACCGUGAUUCGGUCCCCAGGUCCAGACGCCCGGCCUCGGGGGAGGACACGGUCCCAGCCCGCGUGGGCACCGCGUGGGACCGGGCACGGGGCUGCCAGGGCUGGGUCCCCUCUGGCCCCGGCCUGGGACACCGCGGGCCUGGGGCGGCGGGCCCCUUUGUGUGACUAAAUUUGGCAAGAAUAUGAAUCCGAGCCAGCCUUUCCACGUGUGCUCCCAGCUCCCAGCUGAGGAGGCCAAGGGUUCUCUUCCGGUGCUCAGGGAAAGCGCCUGACUGACAGCACCGACAUCCAAUGCCCAGGAAUCACGGCAACACCGGCUGGCCAAGCGUGGAGAGGACAAUUUUCCAGAAAACUUUCUCUUCCCCUGUAAAUCUGCCAUCUGGGGCGUGCACGAUCAAAGGUUCCUCAGGAAAUCUACAGCGCGGGGAACACCAUUCCCUCUACAGACUUUGUUUGCAGGCUACUUCCUCAACCGUAUCUUGGUACAUGCAGGUCAGACAGUAGAUCUGCUCAAGCCUGCGCCUGGAGUUUUUAGCAAAAUACCUUCGUGAAGCUUAGCCGUACUCUUAGGCAAAUGUCUCCUCGUUGCACAAGCCAUUCCCCCCAUUUCGGAGAUCUAAAUCCUCAUGAAUAAGAGAAAGGUGAACAACAGCAAGCAGGGCCAUUUCCUGGAAGAAACGUCAGAGAAUCUUCUGGUCAGAACCAUAUCCCAGACCACGGUGUGCUCUUCUGGUGGCAAAGCAUCUCAUGGGCGGAGUCCACAAGCACGGCCCCCUUCACUGUGGCUUUUAAAAGUGACCCAUUGACCCUUUCACCAGAGGCAUAGAGAUUUAAGGAUUCAGCUGACGCCAUCGCCACAGCAAAGGCUGUUUAAAAGGAAAGGUUAACUGUGGUAACUGCUGCUGAAAUUAUUUUGCCAGCAAGAACACCAAAAGUAUAUUCAAAAGGCUCUCAGUGACAUGUUCAUAGAAGUGUAGUUUAUGACUUUGAAAGGCCUGGCUGUUCAAACCAUAGAUUGAUGAAAUCAAUUCUAAUAUAGCCACCCAGGGAAUCACUGUGCAGCUAUGAAAAUGAUGUAUGAUUAUUUUCAAUCCUAUGAAAAAGUAGAGAUGGUGCAUAGUUAAAUGAGAAAAGAACGAAUAUAAUAAAAGAGAGAAUACAAUCUUGGUCUCAUUUUUUAAAAUCUUUCUGUACAUAUUAUUUAUUAGAACAUGCUCACAGGGGCCUUGUCUGUCUUACCUCAGUGUCCCUGGUGUCUAGAAGGAUUCCUGGCACAAAGUGGGACGACAUUCAUAUCUAUUAUUAUAUCUAGAAAGACAGGCACUGAAAUAUUAGCAGUUUACCCCAAAGAAUGG